rnacentral:lncRNA from 1 species
AUGAAAAAUUGAUAUCUUCAGAUUAAGAUAAAAGAUCUGAUUUAUAUUUAUUUCAGAUUAAGAGAUCCAUGUGAAUUUAUAAUUUAGAAAUUUGGGAUUUUGGAAUUGAUAUGGAGUUCCUUUGCUUUUGUUAAUGAGGUCCCUAUUUGAAUCUACUAUUAAAUGGAGAUUUGAUUUUUUUGAAGCUUGUAUGAUUGUUAUGAAAGGAUAUUUAAUAGAUAUUGAAGAUCCUGAUGAUAGAAAUUUUAGAAAAAAGAAUAAUGAUUUGAAAUCCA